AUGUAUUGUCACAUUGUAAGAAUGGCAUCUCUCAAUUGUCAAGACGUUUCUUGACCUUAUUUUGCAAACUGAUAGUGCUAGUAACGAUGGAAUGUCUUCGGACAAAGAAGAGUAUCUCAAUCUGGCAUUGGGAGUUGUGUCUGGAGGUUCAAGGCAAGUAUUUUGAUCAUUUUUAGACAUAAUUUCUGUUUCAAUGUUUUGCCGUUGCCAUGACAUUGUAAAUCAUUUGCAUUUAGUAGCGUCACUAGUAUGACCUAUAUGUCCUCAUAUCGCAUUUUUUGUGUUGAAUUAGUCCUUCCACACCGAAAUUGACAAAUACAAAUGGUAUUAAUUAUAUUGUUGCCGAAAAUUUAUGGUGUUUUGGGCAUAAAAAACCCUGAUUCCUAGGCAAAGUAUUAAAAAUGAGCCUUGAGUACAUGUUUGAUUGUUUGUUACAUAAAUAAUAGACUGGUCAAGUAUUUAUAUAUCUUACUAGUUUGGCUCUUGAGUGUAUUUUUAUUAUGCUUUCAAGUGGCAUCAUGUAAAUUAUGUCUAUAGAAAUGUUUUUAUUUGUAGUGACUAGUGACGAAGAUAUUUGAUCCUGUUCCAGCUGCUGUUCCUGUUUCAGAGCCCCAGGGAAGUAGCAGUUCUGAUGAGUUUAUUAGUGUUUAUAUCUGAACCACACUCCCCCAUUAGGAAAAGGUCUAAGCAUAGAGGGAAUGGUAGGGGGAUGGGUAAAGGUAGAGAGAAGCCCACUCGGAUCCACGGUUAAAGUUUCCUGUCUAGCACCCCACUAGGCCCCAUAGUGCAUGAGGGAUUUGGUGAUCCUGACACUAGGAAUAUUCUCCU